UGUACAGUUUGGUGAGUUUUGACAAAUAUAUCCAAGUACGUAACCACCACCACAAUCAAAAUACAGAUAGAGCCUUCUUAUCACCCCAAAAAGUUCUCUUUACAAUUGAUUCUCCUAUUACUACCCCAAUCUCCAGCCUUAGGCAAGAGAUCCUGCAGAUCCUUUGCCCAACUUCCUGGAGUUACCAUCUUGCAUAACCAUGUAUGUUUGUCAAAACCGAGAAAUUAACAUUGCUACAGUAUCACGAACCAAACUAUCAGCUCUAAUCAGAUUUCACCAAUUUUCUCAUUAAUGUCCUUUUUCUGCUCCAGGAUCCAUUCCAGGAGUGCACCCAGGAUUGUAUUUAGUAAUCAUGUCUCCUUAUUCUCUUCUGAUCACUUAUUUCAGUGAACUAGCCACAUUUCAAGUUCUCAAUGGCCAUAUGACUCAGGCUACCAUAUUGGAGAGCACAGCUCUAGACCUUUUUGAAACCAGUGCAGGACAGGCCGGGAUCUUGAUAUUUGGCUGAUUUGUGAAGGCAAAGUGGGAGCAGAGAGACUGCUGGGAGGUGACUGUGACUGGGUAGAGAUUUGGACCAGGAGAGAGCGAGAGAAGAUGCCGGACCAUGCUGCCAUUCUGGGGGAGAGGCAGAGUGUGAAAUGAGCUGACAGAAGAGACCAACAUGGAGAGCUUUACCCCCACAGCCCACAGCAGACACAUCACAGAGUUACCAGGAAUUCCAGAAAGGAAGUCAAGUGAUGAAAGACUGAAGGACAGGAAGCCUGGGAGGACUGCUCCCUAAGGGAAGCUGGGUGGAAAGUUCUCACGGAGUCCAGCCCUGUUCCGCCUGCUCUGUCCCGGGGGUCUCUCGGACCCUGUCCCUCUGCGAAUUGAGGAGUGGUCCUAAUUGCCAGUUGCCUUAAAGAGUUUGGGGAAACUGAAGACUGUGGUCCUUUAUAGGCAGGUUCUGGAUCAAGAAGGGUGGGGGAGGUCCUGGAUUUGGAUUCCUGAAAUCCACAGACAACCCUGCCCUUACACUACUUUAUUUUAAAGGUUUUGUUUUGUUUUAAAUUACAAAAGUAAAACAAACAUGCUGAAAAACAGCAUAAACAUACACAGUGCAUAGGCCGGGCUCAGUGGCUCAUGCCUGUAAUCUCAGCACUUUGGGAGGCCAAGGCAGGUGGAUCAUGAGGUCAGGAAUUCAAGACCAACCUGGCCAAGAUGGUCAAACCCUGUCUCUACCAAAAAUACAAAAAUUAGCCAGACAUGGUGGCAGGCACCUGUAAUCCCAGGUACUUGGGAGGCUGAGACAGGAGAAUUGCUUGAACCCAGGGGGCGGAGGUUGCAGUGAGCCAAGAUCGUGCCACUGCACUGCACUCCAGCCUGGGUGACAGAGUGAUACUCCAUCUCAGAAACAAAACGAAACAAACAAACAAAAACAUAUACAGUGCAUAAAGAAAAAGGCAGAAGUCCUUCUCCAGGUGGCCUCCCUGCCCAAGUCUGCUCCUCAAGGUGGGCCCUGCAGCUGCUGGAAUCUCCUGUGCUGGGGAGCCCUCCAUGCUGCCUCCCUCCAGGCCUUUAAUCCAGUCUUGAGGUGCCUGAAUCUCUGUUUUUUACACCUGCACACCCUCUAGUGGGGGUGCUUUGCAAACUCAAUGUGAGGACAAGAAGACGGAGUGGCAGGUGGCAGGUGUGGCCUAAGGCACCCUCCCAUCAGGCUCCCCCGCCCUUGGAAAUUAGGAUCUUCAAUUUUGGUCCUGACCAAUUCCCAC